GGGGAAAGGUGGAAAUAUGCUUUAAGAGCACUAAUUUAUAUGGUGUAGUGAAAGUUCAUGUAGUUUUUUCAAAAUCGAUUAUGCGGAAAGGAGCUGUUUGGAAUGAAGAUUUACAAGAAGAAGUAAUUCCAUCUAAUUGGAUUGACUGCAAUAAAAUGCAAAGAAGAAUUGGCUUAAGUUUAUACAAAUAAAAACUAAAUUCUCUUCAGAGUAUUUUCGAAAAGUUAUAUGGCCUCCAUGGAAAUGAAGGGCAAAGGUGGAAAAAUAUGUUUU